UACGGAGGGUGCAAGCGUUAUCCGGAUUUAUUGGGCUUAAAGGGCGCGCAGGCGGCUUUGUAAGUCAGUGGUGAAAUCUCUCGGCUUAACCUGGAAAUUGCCGUUGAUACUAUAUAUCUUGAAUGCUGUGGAGGUAAGCGGAAUAUGUCAUGUAGCGGUGAAAUGCUUAGAUAUGACAUAGAACACCUAUUGCGAAGGCAGCUUACUACGCAGAUAUUGACGCUCAUGCACGAAAGCGUGGGGAUCAAACAGG
rnacentral:rRNA from 1 species